UCAGCCUCCGUCACUGUCGGUCAAGUCCCAUUUAUACCCUUCAAACAUCACGUAUCCUCCACAGGUCUUGCCUCAGCUGACAUCACUCUGCCCAUCACCUCGAGUUCACAGAAGCAACAAGAAACUGCAGCACACCACUAGAAUUUUUUUGGCACGUUUCUCUCUAUGGAGUCCCGACAAAUGCAGCUCAACUAUACGAUAUAAGAGCCACACGUCUGCCCUGCAAGACUCUGCCUGGUCGGCUCUUCGCCUACCUCUUCAACUCUGUGCUGCCCCCCUUGCCCUCUGACUCCUAAGCCCAGAGCCUACUGAUCUCCUUUGUUCUUUGGGAUGCUCUGGAUUUGACUCAAACACCACAGUCUCCAAGAUAGCCCUCAGGGAAGGCCUGAUAGGGCAGCCAAGGCAGCGUCUGUAAACAGCGGUCACACCAGUCUCCUUAAGUAGUAAAUAAACGUCUUUAUUUAACCUGCUGUCUGGUAAAA